GCAUAUCACGAUGCAGGCGGAGGCGGAUAUCCGCUCGUCCGCUUCGUCCGCGCCGCUAAAAAGGCCCAAACGGCCUAGCGGCUAGGCCACAUAAGCCAAGCGGCUUCACUGACUGUAUCUAUUUGGCCCGUCAGGCCGUCCAUCCCGCUAAGAAAAAAAAGGCUAUCGCUCGUAGCAAAGGAAACAGAGUAGAUAGGGCCGCCGCCACGCUGGUCGCCGCCGUCGGGCCGGCGCCUUGCUCGUCUCUCUCGUCUCUGCCCAGCACGUGAACGUCUGCACCUAGCUCGCCGCCUCCCUGCACCCCGCUCGUAUCCGCCCAACACCUUUCCUUCUGCGACCCCGGCUCCCUUGCCGUCACUGCCUCUGGAGAGAUGGGCGCGGAGGUGGGAGAGGGCAAGAAUCCGGUGGAGGAGGGAACGAAUCUAGCAGACAAGGAGGUGCACAAGAAUCCUUCAGAGCAAGAGGCCAGGGAUCCGGCGGGACAGGUGCAUCUGAAAAGUCUUAGUGAAGAUGCUUCAAGUCUCUUCUUGAGCUACAUGAUAAAUCAUGUCCUCUUUCUAUUCAGUUAACCUCGAUCAACUAUAUGUUAGAUUAGUGUUGCCAACAAAAGACAGAAAGAUAGAGACAGAAGUGGUACAGUCCGUGUCGAUCUUGGUAUAUCUUUGCUGCCGAGUGCCACCACUACUUGCUAUUAGUUCAAUGUUGCUGACUGUUUCAGUUUCUUGUAUCCUUGAGUUUCUGAAACCGAUAUUUUUUUAUUCCGAGGAACAACUUAUCCUCUCUGUAGAAAGCUCCAAGCCUGUAAUUUAACCUCCCCGUUAUUUCAUAUAUAGAUUCUUCAUAUAUAGAUUCGAAAGAGAGGCCCUGCUCUUUUUGUUAUUGGUGCACAGCCUUGUGCAAAUCUUCAGCUCGUGAAUCUGUUCAGUUCAGUUAUGUAGGCAUGCAGUUAAUAUAAACUGAAUUUUUCUA